rnacentral:lncRNA from 1 species
UCCUAUUCUCGGAAGCUGUGCACAGCGCAGCGAAGGUCGACACCACCCGUUCUGAGUUGUCCAAGAGGUCAUAAUCCAUAGGAAUGACUAUAUGCUGAUUAGGACCCUCCAUCCUUAUAUCCACGUGAGUAGUCCUCUCCAAGAAGGUCAGUACCUCGUCAGGGUCAAUGUCUGAGCCAAAGUAAUCAUCCCCCGCAGGGACAAACUCUAUCUCUCCCAGCCAUUGAUGAUGAGCCACCUUCAGUAGUUCACGUAGCUCCCCGCUACUACGAACCACCUAAAUCUUAUAGGGAAUAUUCUCCAUGAUGGCACCCGCCGCAGAUACGACCUUGACACCUGGUGUAGUCACUAAUUCUGCUUCCAAAGCAAUGAACCUUUCCGACUCAAUGUCAGUGACAAUGGCCUUCCUGGUCUCCAACCUUCAUCUUUUCCUUGGUGAUCCUCAUCGCCGUGAGAUGACUCGUUAACGAGGCAAAAGAUAGGUGAUCAUGCCCAGCUCUAGUCCUAAUAUAUGUGAUCGCUACAAAUAUAAUCCGGUCUAAAUGUCCGGAGUCGAAUCCUAGAGAGAACUAAGGCUUAGCUAUAUCUGUUUAAUAUCACUAAGAUUACAAUUUUAAACAAUUUUCUAAAUUAUAAAGAUUGAGAUUUAUGUUUCUAACUAAUCAACUAGCAAAUACUAGAAAGCGCUAAUAUUAUCAACUAAUGAGACAGAGGGUUGGAGACUAAAUUAAGGAGGUCUAGAGUUAUGAUUUUCCCAAUUCGGUAUCCUUCUACCUAUGUUCCCUAUAAUUUUGCCAAUGUAUUCUCUACUGACCAUGAGCACUUUAGGUGUCGUAAUUCUCUCUUGAGCAACUACAAUAGUUUACUAGACAUAUUCUCUCAAACUAUGCUAGUUGGCUUUAUCUAACAGCUCAUUAUGACCACGUCAAGACUUUGUUAUUUCUAAACGUACCUUUAAACCCGCCGUAUUGAUCUGUCAUAUACGUUAGGAGUGAUAUUGUUCAACAACGACCUAAAUAUGUAUCCUUUAUCAAGAAACACAUAAUAAAUACUCACAACAAUAGAUGGUUAUUCAAUCAACAACAAUAAACACGUAGUUGAACAAGUAGAGAAAUCCAACGGCUCAAUUAUAUAAAAACAUAACAAGAACUUAUCCUACAAAAUGUUCUAUCAAAACCCUAGAUAACAAAUUUGUUAUUCAUAAGAGUAUGUAAAACUACAAUACUAAAAGUCAUAACCAAUAACUAAAAUAUAGGAAGAGGAAGAAAAAACUCAUAGAAGAAUUUUCCGCCUUGCUCCUAUUGUGUCUCUGCCUCCUUAGGUCGAAUCUGUGUCAAAUAUUGGUCUCCUCCCUCAAAAAUACUAUUUUUCCAUGUAUAUAUACCAAGUAGGGCCGGGGCCAAAUAAUUAUACCUUCUCCUGUGCAAAAAAGGACAAGUUUUCAGGCUUGUAUGGCCGCGGCCGGGGUCAGGGCGCAGCACAGAUGCGGUAUUUGGAAAGUAUACUGCCUCAGCCCGCCUCAGGUCCGCAAUCGCGAUUUUGACCGCAUUUUUCACCCUGUUCCGUCUGGAAUUUGAAAAAAUGUAAAAUAUGGAAGUUGUAGCCCUUUGAUUUCAUUAGUUCCACUCAAAAUACAAACCAACCACCCUACACUUUAACUUUUACACAGUUCAUAACAAUUCAAAUACUCAUGAGAGGUCAGAAGAUCCAAAUAGAUGGUUAAUUCAAAAAAAUUAGGUAAGACUUGUAAUGUGGUUGCCAAAGAAACAAGAUUACAGGCUCAAAGGGGUUAACUGCGAUACAUAACAAUUAGGUAGGUAAAAUAUACAUAUCUCGCUCAACAAAAAAAUGCCUAUAUCACUUCCAAGACUGAACAAAACUACUAUUUCUCUUUGCAAACACACAGUACAAGUUCUAAGCAUCAAAUGCAAUGCACAAACAAUAAUAAAUACUUACACACACACAUGGCACAUAACUCACUCAAGAUUGGUUCUAUCAAGACACUCUAGUCAAAGAAGUUAAGCAAAGUUAAAAUCAUACAAUUUAAGAUACUUAUACGAGAGUCAAAUUGAGCCUAAGAAUCACAACCAAGGUACUCACUAUUAUCAAGGCAUAACAAAGUCAAGAGAUAUUUCUUCAAUUCAAAACACAACACAAUGGCUCUGAUUCCUCAAAAAAAAAAAACUAACUACACCUGGUUCGAAUAAAACCAUUGAAAAAGAACCGUAACACAAAGAAAAACCAAGGAGGAAUCGUUACACUACCUAACAAAAGAAUUUUUGUUAGAUUUAAAUCCCUCAAGAAAAUUGUCUAAUAAAUCCAUCGUCGGGGAAAUUCCAAUCUUUCCUAUUUUUUAAAAAUAUCCAAUUAAACUAACACAACUAAAAUAUCAUAGAAAAGUCACCCACACAAUCUCUUCACCCCACACGGGACAAUGCACACCAUAACUAAUAAAAUGGUAAAAGAGAUUCCCUGGUAGGCCAAAGGACGAAGCACUAAUAAUUCAUGGGGUUCUCAGACUUCUUCUAAACUUGGUCCUUCGUGCGGGUACCUCAUACUUAGCUCUAACUAUUUGGUUUGCUAUUGCAUCCAUCCAAUACCUUUGCUUUCCAUGCUCCUAGAAAAUAAAAAACUGACACAAUAAAAAUAAUAUAAUAAAUAAAUAAAAUAAAAAAAGCAAUAAAGUUGGGUUUCCUCCCAACAAGCGCUUGAUUUAACGUCGCAACAUGACAUGAAUCACUUUUUGCCUCUACCUCAAGCUUAUGAAUUGAACCUCUAAUUUGGUAUCAAGUUUUCGGCUAUGCUCCAGGGGUGGAGGAACAAAUCUAAUUGGCCCAAACAACCAUUGUACUAUUCUACACUUCUUGGCUUUUACAUGAAGUAUGUAGUCUUGUCUUUCUGGCAAGAAAAAUUCUAGAAUAUAGGCACCUUGUUUCUCAUUCCUUGACUUCUCAAUCGGCUCGGAUGACUCUAUUUCCAUAUCUUCAUCCAAGCACAAUGUAGAAAAAUAUUUUCAAUGAGGACCAAUGCGCUCACACACAUGAACUUCAGAAUUUUCAGCAUCCUCCACAUCAAUGAUACUAGAGUCAACAAAAUUUAUAUCCUCAAUGUACUUGACUGACUCUAGUCUCACUUCUUCAACAUUGACAUCCUCAAAUUAUAGUUGACUAGGUUGUUGAUGUUCUACUCUAACCUCCCCAUUUAACACCUCAAAUUCAUGCUCUUCUUGGCUACUAACCUCAAUAUUGGCUUGUUGAGCAUUAAAAUCCCCAACCACUUGACUCAAUUGAGCUUCAAACUUGUGAAUAGUUGACUCUUGCCUUUCUAUCCGCAAUUGUUUUUCAUUAUUUUAUUUCAGAAAGCACUUUAAUAUAUCAUUAAUCUCUUUUAGUUCUGCAUCCCCAUGUUCUUUAUUCCUAUUAACUUCACAAAAAAGGUAGAACCAUCAUAAUAAGGGACUGGGGAAGAUAAGAAAUAUAAGCACAACCAUAAAAGUGAUCAUUUUUACCACCACACACAAUCUACAAAUAAGAUUGAAUUGAUGCAUAUAACUCGCUCUUAGGAACGUUUUGAAAAUUUUUCCACGGGUGGUUUCCUUCACAAUAUGUAUGAAGAUCAUCAUUAGAAUUAUAUACACCUAAAUUCCCAUAAUUCCAAGAUGUCAUGUUUCUCAAAUCAACAGUUAUAAAAAUACAGAAAAAAAUAAAACAAAAUAAAAGUUCAAACUUGAACCCUAGCAAUAUAUACAUCUACAAUUACACAUUUAGUUCCCCGGAAAUGGCAUCAAAAUUUGAUCACGCCCAACUCUAGUCCUAAAAAGGAUAAGCAGUUGCUGCAAAUAUAAUCCGAUCUAAAAGUCUGAAGUCAAAUCCCACGGAGAACUAAGGCUUAGCUAUAUCUGUUUAGUAUCACUAAGAAGACAAGUUUGAACAAUUUUCUAAAUUAUAAAAAUUGAGAUUUAUAUUUCUAACUAAUUAACUAGAAAAUACUAGAAAGUAGUAAAAUUAUCAACUAAUGAGAUAAAGGGUUGGAGACAAAAUUAAAGGAGGUCUAGAGUUAUGAUUUUCCCAGUUGUCGAAAUCCUUCUAGCUAUGUUCCAUAUAAUUUCGCCAAUGUAUUCUCUACUGAUCAUGAGCACUUUAGGUGCCGUAAUUCUCUCUCGAGCAACUAUAAUAAUUUAGUAGACAUAUUCUCUCGAACUACGUUAGUUAGCUUUAUCUAACAUCUCAUUAUGAUCGCGUUAAGGCUUUGUUAUUUCUAAACCUGCCUUUAAACCCGCCGCAUUAAUUUCUCAUAUACGUUAUGAGUGACUUUGUUCAACAACCACCUAAAUAUAUAUCGUUUCUCAAGAUAAAUAUAAUAAAUAGGCACAAUCAAUCUAUGGCCAUUCAAUAACAACAAUAAACACGUAAUUGAACAAGUAGAGAAAUCUAACGACUCAAUUAUAUAAAAAUACAAUAAGAAUUUAUCCUACAAAAGGUUCUAUCAAAACCCUACAUAAAAAAUUAGCUAUUCAUAAUAGUAUAUAAAACUACAAUACUAAAAGUCAUAACCAACAAUGAAAAAAUAGGAAUAGGAAGGAAAAAUUCGCAGAAGAAUUCUCUACCUUGAUCCUAUUGUGUCUACCUCCUUAGGUCAAAUCUGUGUCAAAAAUUGGUCUCCUCCCUCAAAAAAUACCAUUUUCCAUGUAUAUAUACCAAGUAGGGUCGGGCCCAAAUAAUUAUACCUCCCCCUAUGCAAAAGAAGACAGGUUUUCAGGCCUGGAUGGCCGCGGACGCGGUCGAGGCGCGACACGAACGCGAUAUUUGGCAAGUAUACUACCUCAACCUGCCUCAGGUUUGCGGUCGCGGUUUUCACCCUCUUCCAUUUGGAAUUUAGUAAAACUUAAAAUACGAAAGUUUUAGCCUUUGGGUUAUCUUUCUAACCAUAUAUUGUGGAUUCUAAAUGGAGUUCUAAGCAAAACGUUAUGUGUAUUUUACUAGAUAAUAUGCAAUAUAUCUACUUAAUUCUUCGUUUUAUUGCUCUAUCAUCUGUUGAUCCUCGAAAUGAUCCCAACUUAAUUGCUUGGGCUUUUACUCGUACUUCAGAGUACCAAAUUACUUAAAUUUGUUCCAUAAUAUAUACAUACCUCAGAAUCAGUCCUGCAAGGCAUAAAACACGCAAUUGGUGCAAGACACUAGCGAUUAAAGCUCAAACUCAAUUAAAGUGCAGUAAAUUUUAGUGUAAUAAGUGAAUAAAUACGUAAUAAUAGCCUAUCAUCAAUAGCUGAGAAGAUAUCCCAUCUGGUACGACAACAGCUUGAGGGACGGAGUCCCUCAUUAGCGAAACUUGAGUCCUACCUCCUCGAGCAGACUCAACUAAAGCAAAUUGCAUUCCAGCCGACACGAUAGCCUGGCGAAAUGCAGGCGUUGGAGCCUUCACCUUUCUGGAAACUCGCCGACCUCACACCAAAGGAAGGUCGCAUCAAAAGGCGACAGUGAAUGGAAAUAAGUUGGAAGGUUGAAAUAACACUUACUAGACGAAGUCUUGGGUCCAAAGCGCUUGUAAAAGGACUCCCACACUACCAUAAAAAAAAAGAUUUAGCGACAAUUAAUUAGUGGCAAUAAGAUUCUUGCCACUAAUUUAAUUCCUAAACUAAAAUGUUUGCGACAAACACUUAUUAGCCGGUAAAAAGCAUCGUUUUGCUGGCAAUUAAACGAAUUAGUCACUAAAAGCCUAACAUUUAUUUUUCAUCUUCCCUCCGAAGGAAACCCAAUUUUUCAGUUUCAUCUCUUCUUUUAAUCAUCCCACCCCUGACUUGUUUUCUAUUUACUAUACUGAUUUCUCUUAUUUUUGUCCUUCAAAAUCAUUUAAGAAUAUGUUCACCCAUAUCUACAACCAAGAUGGAAGCAAAGGAUGAACACAGACAUUAUAGCAGUGGCAAAGCUCGAAGAACUAGUUAUAGAUCGAAACUCAUCGUCUUACCACCUAUAUCUUCAUCACAAUCGGUUACCUCUCUAGUACCUUUGCAAUUCAUAUUUUUUCUUUAUCAUUUUCUUUACACAUUCUUAUAUAGAUUUGGUAGUUGUUGACUAUUUUUCUUUAUUCCAUGUUGGCAUGAAUAAAAUUGAGAUAAUGGGACUAUCAAUGCUGGCAGGAGAUUUUGUUAGGCUCAUGGGUUGGUUCAUGUACGAACGAGUACUAGAAUCCUGCAGGUAUAUUAUAGGGUUUUAACCCAGCAGAUGAAGUUACGUAGUUAAGUAAAAGAAAUAAUUAUUUUUAUUUGUUUUAUUUUGGUUUUUUAGUUUGGCGUUUGUUUGAUUCUCAUUUUGUAAUAAUAGGAAUAUACACUGAGUAACACAAAAUGUACAAGUAUAUACAAAGCUAAAUCAUGUAGCAUCUCUU